rnacentral:rRNA from 1 species
GACGAACGCUGGCGGCGUGCCUAACACAUGCAAGUCGAACGGAGUGGCGAACGGGUGAGUAACACGUGGGUGAUCUGCCUUGCACUUCGGGAUAAGCUCGGGCAACCGGGCCUAAUACCGGAUAGUGCAAGAUGAGCCCGCGGCCUAUCAGCUUGUUGGUGGGGUAAUGGCCUACCAAGGCGUCGACGGGUAGCCGGCCUGAGGGGGUGUACGGCCACAUUGUGACUGAGGUACAGCCCAGACUCCUACUGGAGGCAGCAGUGGGGGAUAUUGCACAAUGGGCGGAAGCCUGAUGCAGCGACACCACGUGGGGAAUGAAGGCCUUCGGGUUGUAAACUCCUUACGACAGGGACGCGGUACCUGUAUAAGAAGCACCGGCUAACUACGAGCCAGCAGCCGCGGUAAUUC